rnacentral:misc_RNA from 1 species
GGAAUAUUGGGCAAUGGGCGCAAGCCUGACCCAGCAACGCCGCGUGAAGGAAGAAGGCCCUCGGGUUGUAAACUUCUUUUAUCAAGGACGAAACAAAUGACGGUACUUGAUGAAUAAGCCACGGCUAACUACGUGCCAGCAGCCGCGGUAAUACGUAGGUGGCAAGCGUUAUCCGGAUUUACUGGGUGUAAAGGGUGCGUAGGUGGCACGAUAAGUCUGAAGUAAAAGGCAACAGCUCAACUGUUGUAUGCUUUGGAAACUGUCGAGCUAGAGUGCAGAAGAGGGCGAUGGAAUUCCAUGUGUAGCGGUAAAAUGCGUAGAUAUAUGGAGGAACACCAGUGGCGAAGGCGGCUCUCUGGUCUGUUACUGACGCUUAGGCGCGAAAGCGUGGGGAGCAAACAGGA